rnacentral:snoRNA from 1 species
AAUCCGUGAUGAGGGCAUUUGGUUUGAUAACCCUUAAAGCGCUCCCAAGCUUCAUAGAAGCUUUCAUUUUGCUUCUGAGCGAAUCCGGAGAUCUCAUUCCGGAGUCU